rnacentral:SRP_RNA from 1 species
GCACUAGUCGGGGAGCCAGCGGUGCCUUGUUGCCUGCAAUCCGCUAUAGCAGGGAUGAAUUCCCGACUGAGGGUGUGUACUGGAUUGUCUGACCCACGUAAGCGGUGUUGAGGAUUUGGUCUUACGCAACGCGGUCCCGUGAACCAUGUCAGGCGGGGAACCGAGCAGCAUUAAGCGGAUCGCCGUGUGUGCCGUGAGGGUGCCGUUUCUGAGCUGGCUGCGUGGGUAACGGGUGUGGUACACAUUCGAGGAAGGGUGU